rnacentral:rRNA from 1 species
UACGGAGGGGGCUAGCGUUGUUCGGAAUUACUGGGCGUAAAGCGUACGUAGGCGGCUUUGUAAGUUAGAGGUGAAAGCCCGGAGCUCAACUUCGGAAUAGCCUUUAAGACUGCAUCGCUUGAACGUCGGAGAGGUGAGUGGAAUUCCGAGUGUAGAGGUGAAAUUCGUAGAUAUUCGGAAGAACACCAGUGGCGAAGGCGGCUCACUGGACGACUGUUGACGCUGAGGUACGAAAGCGUGGGGAGCAAACAGG